CAUAAAUUUAACAGCAUCUCAGUUAAAAUGAAAUGUAGUUUGUUUGUUAUAGUGAUAGAGCCACUGACAGCAAAUAUUAAAAGGUAGCAGCAGAUCUGUGAGUGGGUUUAGCAGACCUCUGAUAUCACCAAAAGCUCCUACAAAAGGAAGUGUUCCAGCCUGGUUAACUAAGAUAACCAUUGAUAACAACUGUUUGUUAUUUCUGUUUCCCACUUGCACCCUGUUGCUGUUGCUAACUGUAUCUUGUUUAUCUUUGCUUUGGAUGGUUCUGUUAGUAAUCUUACAUGCAUAUGUUAAAACAGAAAGAUACCAUGCUUAGUUUUUAGAAUGUCAUGGCUGAAUUUGAGAAGACCAAAUACAAACAAGCUAAAGUAAUAAAAUCAAAUAGAUCCAAUUGAAAGCUACCUCCAUCUCAAACAAGUAACCACGUUUCUCCUUGUGAUUAGAACAGCUUAUCAACAUGUACUGCAAAGUCUGUAUAUGUAACAUGAAGUAUGAUACAUACACAUAUAUUUGUGAGUGAUGAAGCAUUAUCUUUUAAAAGCUACAAGGCACCAAGUUGUUGUCUUAGGUAGAUGGUUGUCAAGUGACCAAGGCUAUAGAAGAGGAAGUGGGAGAACUAUCUAAAUUACGAAGUUGAGAGAUCAAUUUCAGUAAGGCUCAAUUAGUGCUACCCCAGGAAUUGUAAUAGGGUAAAUGGUAAGACAUAGAGAUAGAAGAAAGAUUAAAGCUUUAUGGGGAAUAAAUGCUACUUCUUCUUGACUCCAGUUCAAAGCAACUGUAGGAGAAUUUAUUUUUUCACAGCAGUGCAAAUUGUAACUUUGCUGGUAUCAGCAGACCAAAAUGAAAAUUACUGGAAAGGAUUAGAAUGGAGCUGGAACAAGGAAUAUGCUGCUGCUGCUGCUUUCACUUAAUUUAAAUAAGCAAUUAUAAAACUCCUGUCUGUUCCUGUUCCUGAGACAAGGAAAGCCUUUUACAAUUAAAUAUUUGUUAUUCACUGAUACUAUGGGAGUGGCACUGUUACAGAGCAGAAGUGAAUGAAAGCGAGUACCAAUAGAAUUGGAAUUGCAUUACUUUGAGGUUGGAUCAAAAUCUUUUGCCCUCAAUAGCCUGCAAUUCAGCUGGUUUGCAAUUCAGCCUGCUUAGAUCUUCCUGAAGUACCUAAUUUCAGGGAAAUCAGUAGGCAGCAAAGUAACGUCCACCUAAGUAGCACAGUGGGUGCUAAUAUUAACACAUAGGGAUUACUGUACAAGUGUUAAAGUGGAUCAUCUCACUUGUGCUUUAACUGAACAACAGGCAGAGCACAGUUAUAUCCAAAAUGUGGACAAAAAGCUCCAGAAAAGCCUUGCCCUGUGUAUAGGCUGCUGAGAUCAUUGACUGCACGGAACACAGGCACCCUGGAGAGCUUUACACCAAGUCAUUCCUUUCCUCUUUGAGCAGCAGUAGUUCUGCUACCUCUACAGGCAGCCACUUUGUCAAGGGCAAAGAGUUCAUGCACCAGUUGGACUAAGACGCUGUUCUCUGGGGACCCCGUGCAGGUAAAGUUGAAGUACGUUCCGCACUGCCGGUGGCUCUUUAAAAGCCAAUUGUGCUCUGGUUUUAGCAGAAAAAGGCAUCAGUCGCAGGCAGCCACGUAUCCCUGUGCACAGCUACUUGACAGGGGUCUUGCUUGUUCAAGCAGUGGUGUAUUUCUUGCCUUGCAGUCUUGAUGCCAAAACAGUCAGGGGUUCAACUUACAAACACCUUUUGACAUCAAGAUGACAGCUGGCUUUUUACUAGCACUGUAUUUCAGCUGUGUUGCUUGCUGAAACUGGCUUGGAGGCCCGAAGGUAUGUAGAGGGUUCUGAAAUAUUGGAGCAGUUGUUUUCAAGGAAGCGCCUUGGGAAGCCAGAGGAACUGAGCUGCUUGCGCCACGCACUGG